GAGGGAAAGUUGAAAAGCACUUUGAAAAGAGAGUGCAAGAGAACGUGAAACCGUUAUAGUGGAAGCGGAUGGAGCCGACGUAUCCAGUGCGUAUUCAGCACUCGUCGGCGGUUGUUCUCCGUCGGGUGUUCCGCAAGGUCGCCCUGCGGUUACUGCUGCCGUCGGCGAGUGUGCAUUUGCGUACAGAGUGCGCCGAAUCGGUUGAGCACGCCGUUCGAAGUCGCCAAAGAGGACAUGCUUUCGGGCGUGAAUCCUGGGACGAUGGAGGACGGAUGUGCUCGACUGCUCAGUGGCGUUGGCCUACGUUGUGUUCGGUUUUGUUGUCGGCGUUCUGCGGUGACCACAUGUGGGCUCUGCUCUGCGUUUGCUUCGAAGCAGGACACUUCUCAACGCUGAUUCGGUGUCUAGUCGGUCACCCAUUUGACCCGUCUUGAAACACGGACCAAGGAGUUUAAGGUGUACGCAAGUCAAUGGGUGUUGAAACUCAGAGGCGUAAUGAAAGUGGGACACUUAGUGUCUGUGAUGUGACUCGCGUGCGAUUCGUUGUGCGUGAGGCAGCAUCGACCCAUGACUAAGACUUGUCUUGUUGUGGAGUCUGAGCGUACGCUUUGAGACCCGAAAGAUGGUGAACUAUGCCCGAACAAG
rnacentral:rRNA from 1 species